rnacentral:rRNA from 1 species
GACGAACGCUGGCGGCGUGCCUAAUACAUGCAAGUAGAACGCUGAAGGAGGAGCUUGCUUCUCUGGAUGAGUUGCGAACGGGUGAGUAACGCGUAGGUAACCUGCCUGGUAGCGGGGGAUAACUAUUGGAAACGAUAGCUAAUACCGCAUAAUAGUAGAUGUUGCAUGACAUUUGCUUAAAAGGUGCAAUUGCAUCACUACCAGAUGGACCUGCGUUGUAUUAGCUAGUUGGUGGGGUAACGGCUCACCAAGGCGACGAUACAUAGCCGACCUGAGAGGGUGAUCGGCCACACUGGGACUGAGACACGGCCCAGACUCCUACGGGAGGCAGCAGUAGGGAAUCUUCGGCAAUGGACGGAAGUCUGACCGAGCCACGCCGCGUGAGUGAAGAAGGUUUUCGGAUCGUAAAGCUCUGUUGUAAGAGAAGAACGAGUGUGAGAGUGGAAAGUUCACACUGUGACGGUAUCUGACCAGAAAGGGACGGCUAACUACGUG